ensembl:lncRNA
GUCUUGACAAAAUUGACAUCCACAGAUUCGGAAUGACCCAAAGAAUGCAUAGACACCAAGAUCAUCAUUUUCUGACGAAUUGUUCAGAAGUUAUAAGCAAAAAAGUGAAUUUUUGGUAUCUCAACACCCAUAGGUGGCGCUGUUCCCAACUUUGGCAUGGACCCUCAGAUCAUGGUGUAGAUGAAGUGUACCAAGUUUGGUUUCGAUUGAUCAAAGUUUGGCCGAGAUACAGCAUCUGAACCGAUUUUAGGUCGACUUCGUUAGGUUCACAAUUGAAUAACUUUUGAACAAAGAUGAAUAUCAAAAAUCUGUUCAGUCAUUUCUGUGUGGCUCAGUCCAAAGAUCAUGUGAGCCAAAUUUCAGAAGAAUUGGACCAAUUUUGAAGGAGGAGUAGCGUUUAGACUGAAUACUGUACUUUUCAAAAUGGCCGCUACUGUAAUGGGCGGAGUCUUAAUGUAAUGUAUUGAGUAUAAUCUUCAUGAAGAGAGUGAUCAGGUGUACUAAGUUAAAUUUUCAUAGAAUUAGGGGUUCAAAAGUUAUUAACGUUUGAAUGUUGAAAUUUUGGACUGCUGGUGGCGCUAUAGAGUUGUGCCUAGAGACCCCAAAGUUGGUCAGAUCACUAAUAAUGGCCAUCUCUACAAGUGUGCCAAAUUUCAUCAUUUUCCCAUGUUCCCUUCAUAGGGCUGCCAUAGACCCCC